rnacentral:rRNA from 1 species
AAUGGGCGAAAGCCUGACGCAGCAACGCCGCGUGCGGGAUGAAGGCCCUCGGGUCGUAAACCGCUUUCAGUAGGGACGAAGAUGACGGUACCUACAGAAGAAGCCCCGGCUAAAUACGUGCCAGCAGCCGCGGUGAUACGUAUGGGGCAAGCGUUGUCCGGAUUUAUUGGGCGUAAAGAGCUCGUAGGCGGUUCAGCAAGUCAGGUGUGAAAAAUCUAGGCUCAACCUAGUGGAGCACUUGAUACUGCUGUGACUUGAGUCCGGUAGGGGAGUGUGGAAUUCCUGGUGUAGCGGUGAAAUGCGCAGAUAUCAGGAGGAACACCGACAGCGAAGGCAGCACUCUGGGCCGGAACUGACGCUGAGGAGCGAAAGCGUGGGUAGCAAA